AUGUGGCGACGCUGUCACAGACAGGAAGUAGCUCGAGUGGUAGCUCACCAGAGAACAACCACUCCCAGAACGGGCUCAGACAACGAUGUGCGGUCAGUCUUUCAUGAAGCUCUUUACGCUUUCAUCUCUCUUGUAAUAUAUAUAUUUUUUCACUUCAUAUUUGUCAUGAUGGGAAUUGUGUUACUAUUUAGUAUCAGCAGUAUAAUUCAUAGCCUGGUCACGGAUCGGUCGGCCCCUCCUCCUAUAGCCUGGUCACGGAUCGGUCGGCCCCUCCUCCUAUAGCCCGGUCCCAGGUCGUCGGCCCCUCCUCCUAUAGCCCGGUCCCAGGUCGUCGGCCCCUCCUCCUAUAGCCCGGUCCCAGGUCGUCGGCCCCUCCUCCUAUAGCCCGGUCCCGGUCGUCGGCCCCUCCUAUAUAGCCCGGUCCCAGGUCGUCGGCCCCUCUCUAUAGCCCGUGUCCCAGGUCGUCGGCCCCUCCUCCUAUAGCCCGGUCCCAGGUCGUCGGCCCCUCCCCCUAUAGCCCGGUCCCAGGUCGUCGGCCCUCCUCCUAAGCCGGUCCCGUCGGUCGGCCCUCCUCCUAUAGCCGCGGUCCCAGGUCGCGGCCCCUCCUCCUAUAGCCCGCGUCCCAGGUGUCUGGGCCCUCCUCCUAUAGCCCGGUCCCAGGUCGUGGGCCCCUCCUCUCCUAUAAGCCCGGUCCCAGGUCGUGGGCCCCUCCUCCUAUAAGCCCGGUCCCAGGUCCGUGGGCCCCUCUCCUAUAGCCCGGUCCCAGGUC
rnacentral:lncRNA from 1 species